rnacentral:pre_miRNA from 1 species
AAAAAGACAAACCCUGAGUUUCCGUGUACAACUUUGACUAUCCGUCUUAUAUGAAUUUUUUUUAUAAUUCGUAUUUUCAUUAUUGUUAGAUGAUAAAACAUGAUUAAUGUUUUAUGUGUGACUUCUCUUUUUAAUUUUUUCAAAUAAGACGGAC